AAAACAAAAAGAAAGGAAACAUACACAUAUAGUCUUUCAAUAUAAAUUUCUCUAAUAUGGAAAAAUAAAACAUUACAUUAGACAAAGAUUUUUGAGAAUUUUGGAUGACUAAUAUUAAUUCUUUAUUUUUUUUUUAUAUUUUUAUAAUACUCUCAGAAUUAAAAAUAUAUAUGUUACUUAUAAAUAUUUUCUUCCCAUUCACCGCAAAUACGUCCUAUCAAUUAAGGUGAAAAAUAUAUUUAUUUUUUCUUCUUCCCCUCCUUCCAAACCCUUCCCCAUCCCACUCCAAACGCUCAAAGAGAAACCUUAAGAAAAUGGUUAAGGGUUGAGAAGAUAAUUCAUCUUACACAAGAGAUUAAUCGCCACUAAACCAAUAAAUAAAUGGUUAUAAUAAAAUAACCAAACAAGCAAGUACGUUAAUGAGUAUGACAAAUACAACUUAUAUAGUAAAACAAUGCAAAAACAUUUAACAUAUUAAUG
rnacentral:lncRNA from 1 species